AAACCAUAAAGAAACGCAAGAAAAUGAGUCUAAGGUGACAAUAGUUGUUACCUAGAGGCAAGUGAGACAGAAAUGACUGCAGACAGCUGGGGGCACACAGGGAACCCCAGGCUGCUGGUAAUAUUCCAUUUCAUGACCUGGUGUUGAGGUCAUGAGCACUUACAGGGGAGUCUCCUUUUCCUUACUUAUCAACGUGUGCCAUGUUUAUGCCAUUUACCAUAUGUCUGUAUUACAAUUCAGAGAAGGAAAAAAGUAACAUUCAAAGAAGGAAGGAAGGAAAAAGGGAAAGAGAGAGGGAGGGAGGGAGGCAGGCAGGCAGGCUGUAAAAGGAAUCUGCAUCACACAGCACUGGGGAGAAGACAGGGGGCUCUUCCGUGAGGUGUGGCGAAGUUGAGUCCUCAUGAUGGCUGCAGACCUGGGUCUCUGCAAACUAAUUCUCGGCACACAAAGAGCAGAAUCUCUAGUCCAAGAGUUAAAUUCAGAAAACCAAUUUAUUGAUUCAUAAUGAGAAGUAAAAAUGGAUAUGAAAACUUACAUAAAUUAAUACAUGAAAUAAUUAAAAGGAAAGUAUGUGUGUAGUUUCCAAAGGUUGUUUCAAUAAGAAUUUUUUUCAAAUACAAGGUAAGACUUUUUAGUAUUGGGCUAAAUGGGUUUUAAGAUGAAAAACAUUAUGAUGCCAAAAAGCGAUGUUAUAUACUGCCAAAACAGUGUGCUAGAUCAAGAAGAUAGUAGUUAUGAAUAAAUAAGCCCUUUAAAAUAGCUCAUCACAAUAUAUAAAAUAACAACUGACAGCAUUACAAGAGAACAUAGAGACAACAAAAUUUAUUGCCCAAGAUUUUCACAAAGCCCUAUUAGAGACUGGUAGAUUAGAGGGACAAAAAAAAAAAUCAAAACAAAAAAGCAUAAAUGCAUACAAAAUUUGAUUGACAAGAUUAAUAAAAAUCCCAGAGCAAAAUAUAUGUGUGUGUGGAGCGAAGCUUUCACAACCACGGAUGAUGGACGAGGUUGGAAGCUACAAUGAGCCCAAACAAUCCACCCAGCUUAGUAUGUUCCCUGAGCACAAAGCAGUGAAAUUAGAAACCAGUAACAAAAAUGAUUAAAAAUAAAUAAUAUACCAUAUGUUCAAAAACUAAAAUGUCAUUCUGCUAAAAGGACUUUAAGAUACAAAGUAAAACAUAAGAGAAUUACAAAAUAAUGGAGCCACACUGUAGUGAUAGCUCCAUAUGUUUAAAUGUAUUUAUCAGAAAGUAAGAAAAAAUGAGCUAAGUAUUCAAUCCAAGCAGAAAACAAACAAGAAACAGAAGCAACCCAAAAGGGACAAACAAGAAGAAAAUAAAAUAGAUAAGAACAUAAAUCAAUGAAAUAGGGAAGAUUAACAAAACCAAAAGCAAUUUCUUUAAAAUAUUAAUACAAUAUACAAAAAGCUCUGGCAAAUCUAGUCAAUACAAUAAGGGGAAGAUGCAAAUUUACAAAACAGAAUCCAAAAGAGGAAAUAACUGCAAAAACAAUGUAAAAUCUUUUUUAUAAAGACAUCAAUUUGAAAACACAAGGCAACAUGGACACACUGUUGGAAAAGUAUGAUAUUCCAAAUUGGAGCAAGGAUAAAUAGAUUUUCAUUUAAAAUUCAUAAUGGUAAUUAAAGCCUCCCCCAAGAGGGAAAAAAAAAGGCAAUAAAAAAUCAGGCCAAGAACAUUCCACAAAAAAGUUACAUCAAACUUUUAAACAAGAAAGAAUCUAUGUCUUACACAAAUCACAAGUUGUUCCAAACAAUGAGAGAGAAAGAGAGAGAGACAGACAGAGACAGAGACCUUCUGUUAAUUAUAAAAUUGUUUGCUUGAUUCCAAAGCUGGUUUAAAAAAAAAAAAAAAAAAAAAAACUUCAAAAUGCAAAGUAUAGGCUCUUUUCACUUAUGAAGUCUUACUUACAUAUUUGCUAAUUGACUUUAAUGUUGUCUGAAAAUAAUAAUAAUAUCAUUAUAAAUAGAGUUCAUCAAAGGAAUGAAAAAAAGUUUUAACAUCAGAAAGCCUAUGAAUUUAAUUCACCACUUUAAGAUACUAAGAUGAAGAAAGAAAAAAUAUUGACUAGGUCAGUAGAAGCAAAAAAAAAUGCACUUGUAAAUAUCCAACUUGUUUUUAAAUAAAAUUAUUUACAUUAUUAUUAUUACAUACAGUAUUCCCAGAAUACUGUAACUAAAGGAGAAUGUUCUUUAUCUGAUAAAUAACUAUGCUUGUCUUUGACGAAUACCAUAUUCAGAGGAUGGACUUGAGGCAUGGCUCCUUUAAGACUGGAAACAAGAAAAACGCAAUCUUAUUGCUACUGGUAAAGCUGUCCAAUGGACUCAUCAAGAGAAAGAUCAACAAGAGGUAGAAGAAUAUAUUAAGACAAGUCAAGGCUAUCCUUAUUUGCAGAUGGCAUGAUCACCUAAAUAGAAAAUGCAUCAGAAUCAAUGCACGCAAUAUUGGAAUUAAGAGUUCUACAAAAAUUAAGAGGUGUGAUUUCAACCAUACCAUGAUGUUUCCUCACACUGGUAAUUUCUAACUAAAACAUAUAAUAAUAAAACAAUAUAACAUUUACAAUAACAAGAAAAACUUAAAUAUAUCUAAGAAUAAAUCUAACAAAGAAUUCAUGAUUCUUUAUAGAGAAAGUUUUAAAAUUCAUUAAAGGAUAUAAAGAAAGAUUAGAAUAAAGAGAAAAUAUACCAUAUCCCAUAAUGGACUAGUUUAACAUUUGAAGAAAUGGCAGUUCUCCACAAAAGCCAUACUUAAAUGAGAUUCUGAUUAAAAAAAAAAAAUUUUAGGAGCGAUUUUUGAAGACUUCAACAAUCUUAUUCUGACAUUUACAUGAAAAAAUAAAAUUCUUUAAAAAAUAAACAAUUUCAGAAAAAGAGAAUAAAAGGGACCUGACCUACAAGAUAUGAAAAAAUUCCACAAAAUACUACUUAAAAAAAAGUGCAGUUUUGGUACAGAAAUAUUAAAUUCAUAAGUGGAACAAAACAGAAAGCUCAACACCAAACCCAUGUGUGUUUAAGGAUCUGUUUUAUGACAGAAGUGACACACAUCAGUGAGACAGGAAUAGACUUUUUUAAUACAUGGCUUUGGGUACCACUGGCUUGCCUGAUGGGUAAAACUAAAAUUGGAACUCUUCCUUACAUCCUAAGUAAAAUGAUCUCUAGAUUGAUUAAAAACUCAAAUGAAAAGGCAUAAAAAUAAAGCUAAUAGGAGACUAUUGGAGAAAACUUUUUAUCUUGAACUGAAUAUGCACUUUAUGUCAUACCUCAAAUGUACAAAAUCUAAGGUGAAAAAAACUGGAUUUUACCACAGUGAUAUGGAAGGGGGACAGGGACGUGCUGGGUAGAGGAAGGUGUGUGUUGGGGGGAGCCAGAGGCAAUCCAGGGGUCCAUGACAAGAGGAACAGGGUAGGUUAAGGUAUGGUAGAUGCACGCUGUGAAGCAAAGGUCAGAAGAGGGUCAUACAGAAAUGUCAGUGUGUUUUCACAACAGUGGUGAGUGAAAAAAAUUAGGAAACAAAUGAGAUCUAUAUAUUGCACAAUAACAUGUAUGGAAAUGUAAAAUGAACACAUAACCCUUGACAAAUUAGAUUUUUCAAAGCUACACAAAUAUUUAGGUACAGAUAAAAAGACAUUAGAAAGAGUGACUCUGUCGGAGGGGUGGAGAGGGGAUGGGAGAUGGGAUCCAGCAUGAAGGAGAAAUGGAAUUAAACAACCAGAGGUCUUGUAGGGCAUGAUGGCGAGAAUGGAUUAUCAGUGAGGAGUAGGAUUAACAACUCUCUAUGAACCUAUGAACCAAAAGUACAGCUACGAUUACUACUAAAACUAAUACUAAUGAGAAUAGUGUGUAAGAAAAGCGUGGACUUUGUUCAAAACUUUAAUAUGCCAGCCGGUAAAUGCGUGACCCUGGGAAACUUACUCGCCUGUCUGAGCCUCAGUUUUCUCAAGCAUGUAAUGAAAAUGAGAACAAAAAUUUCUUAGUUUUUCCAAACUCAAGUCCAAAUAAAGGUCCAAAUUCAAGAAGACAGAGGAUUGCUCUUCAGCCAUGACAAAAAGUAACUACCAAAACUGAUUUUAAGCCUGCCCUGACAAAUUGAGUCAACUUUUUAUCAGUAACUACAUUUCUGAGUGACAGCCAUUCAGUGGCAGCCUCACUGUCCCAACCCCGAGUCCACGGCCAAAGUCAUCCAAUCCCUAAAUGCUCCCCCUCCCAAGUCUGCCAGUCUUGGAGCUCCACAAGCAGUUUGCGCUGUUC
rnacentral:lncRNA from 1 species